GACCCAAUGGUAAAACGAAUCAUGCCCGCUUCUGUUAGGGUUGCAGUAGAUGCAGCGGGAGAUCCCAGUUCGAGCCCGGGUUGGGUCA